rnacentral:misc_RNA from 1 species
GGAAGUAAAAGACAAGGUUUCCGUAGGUGAACCUGCGGAAGGAUCAUUAUUGUAUAACCGAGGUGCGAGGGCUGUCGCUGACCCGAAAGGUCGUGCACGCCCGAGUGCCCUCACACACAUCCAUCUCACCCCUAUGUGCACCACCGCGUGGGUCCCCCUUUGGCUUGUUCGGAGGGGGGCUUACGUUUUCACACAAACUUUGUAUGCAGUGUAGAAUGUAUUUUUUGUUUUUGCGAUCACGCAAUCAAUACAACUUUCAACAACGGAUCUCUUGGCUCUC